rnacentral:rRNA from 1 species
AACGAACGCUAGCGGCAGGCCUAACACAUGCAAGUCGAGCGCCCGGAUUUAUCCGGGAGCGGCGCACGGGUGAGUAACGCGUGGGAACAUGCCCUGAAGUACGGAACAACCUGGGGAAACCUUGGCUAAUACCGUAUACGCCCUGAGGGGGAAAGAUUUAUCGCUUUGGGAUUGGCCCGCGUUGGAUUAGCUGGUUGGUGUGGUAACGGCGCACCAAGGCGACGAUCCAUAACUGGUCUGAGAGGAUGACCAGUCACACUGGGACUGAGACACGGCCCAGACUCCUACGGGAGGCAGCAGUGGGGAAUAUUGGACAAUGGGCGAAAGCCUGAUCCAGCCAUGCCGCGUGAGUGAAAAAGGCCUUCGGGUUGUAAAGCUCUUUCAGCGGGGACGAUGAUGACGGUACCCGCAGAAGAAGCCCCGGCUAACUUCGUGCCAGCCGCCGCAGUAA